rnacentral:lncRNA from 1 species
UCUUGAGUGAUUCUCUCUCUAAAAAGAUUAGUGAAUGAAAAAAUUUCUUUUAAUAGUCUUGAUCUGAUUCUAAUGAAGAAUCCUGAUUCAUGAUUGUCAGACAGCGUACUGGCACCCACCUUAAUCAGACCAUGAAUCUUUAGAUUUGAUCAUCCAUGAUUUCGAUCUAGCCAUGACUUGAUUUGAUCAUGUUGAUUUCAUCAAUCGAGAUAUUGGACCAAUC